AGCUCCGUGGCUUAGUUGGUCAAGGCGCCCGUCUACUAAACAGGAGAUCGUGAGUUCAAUUCUCACCGGUGCCU